UGAGGAAUUUUGCGCAAUGGCCGCAAGGCUGACGCAGCAACGCCGCGUGGGUGAUGAAGGCCUUCGGGUCGUAAAGCCCUGUCAGGUGGGAAGAACGAUUGGGGGUCGAAUAGGCCUUUGAUGUGACGGUACCACCAGAGGAAGCACCGGCUAACUCCGUGCCAGCAGCCGCGGUAAUACGGAGGGUGCGAGCGUUAUUCGGAAUUACUGGGCGUAAAGCGCGUGUAGGCGGCCUGGCAAGUCUGAUGUGAAAGCCCCGGGCUUAACCUGGGAAGUGCAUUGGNAACUGUCGGGCUUGAGUACUGGAGAGGAUGGGGGAAUUCCCGGUGUAGAGGUGAAAUUCGUAGAGAUCGGGAGGAAUAUCAGUGGCGAAGGCGCCCAUCUGGACGGUAACUGACGCUGAGACGCGAAAGCGUGGGGAGCAAACA
rnacentral:rRNA from 1 species